ensembl:rRNA 5S_rRNA 5S ribosomal RNA
GCUUAUGGCCAUACCACCCUGAGCACGCCCAAUCUCGUCUGAUCUCGGAAGCUAACCAGCGUCGGGCCUGGUUAGUACUUGGAUGUGAGACCGCCUGGGAAUAUCAGGUGCUGUAAGCG